GCAGAACCUUGCAGUGGCAGCCUGGUCAGCCAUUCCUUGCUCUGAUAUGUAACCCUUCGGAGGCGAGAAGGUUUCCUGGAAGGUAUUAGUUUUCUGGGCUCUUGUUUGUGCCUGUUGAAAAGGCUCUCACUAAUUAUGGAAUGAGUCAUGCAAUCCUAUUGAAUUACAGUAUAUGCACCUGUAAGAUGUUCUGCCAAAUAAAACAGAUUCUCUCAAGGAUUUCUGAAUGUAUCAAUAUCAAAGCCUGCUUUGUUUGUGAUAGAGCAAAAAGUUUUACUUUGUGUGCAUUAUUUUAAGUGCACUCACAGGUUGCUGCCUUAUCAACCACACCCUGGUGUGAUGAAUGUAAGUGCCAGUCUCAGCACCUGGGCCUCCUUUGCAAUCUGAUGUCGAUAUGGGCAACGAGGCUCAACUGUUCUGGGUGUCCAGAAAGAAAGAGGAAAGGCUCUUUCUUCCCUGCACAUGGCCAGAAAAGCCCUGGGAGUACAAUGCUGUGGGUUGGGGGAAGGCAGUAGAAUUGGAAAGAGAAGCAAGUCAUUUUUCUCCAGAGCUACUGAAGCUUGCCAUUGAGUUCCUGCAAGGCAGAGUGAAGUUGACAGAAAUCCAAGAAUUCAUUAUUGAUUAACAAGAGACCAAAUUAGGCCUGUGAUGAAUGCUCCGGAAAACACUAUUGGUCAUAAUCCAUAUUCAAACUGUGAUCCAAAAAUGACUAGUAGCCUGAAGUGUGUGGAAUGAUGCAGCUUUGUACAUGGAUCUGGACCCUCUUCACUUCUGCCAGUUGAAUUGCAUUAUGAUUUGCUACGACAUUUUUCUACUCAUCAUUCAAUGACCUCACAUCACACUCCCAAUUCUUUUCAAGUCCCCUUCCUGAAGAAGGAGAAAUCAAUGGCAUGAAGCCUGAGUAAGCCCACAAAAGCAUGGAUUCAUUAGGAAGGAGUAGAGCUAACUGGAUUUUAUCCUCUCAUCAGCAUCAGCAUAAUUCCUACUCCUGAAAAAUCCCUUUCCACACUUAUUUACCCCAGCCUACAAUAGGAGCAGGUCAGAAACUAUGCAGGGGAUUUUCCAGCUGCAGAGAUCUAACAUGCAGUGCUUAAAGAGCUGUAGAAAGCAAAUCCUUCUGCUGCCUGCUUAGCUGCCUGUGCCUUGAAUCUUGCAGGCCUCACUCUGAAUAUGUAGGUCUGGCCAAAGCUGAACACUUGCUUACACACCUGUAUACACUGUCUGCAGCCAUGUAGUUUAGCAGGCAAUGUGUUUGAAGAAGUUGUGUAUAUACACUCCUAUAGCACUGUGUAGAAGUUAACCAUGGGAGAUGCGAGUUAAAUGUAAGCCUGUUUGAAAACUGCACUUAUGUAACUUUUGCUUAAAAGGAACUUUGUAUAGAGAACUGUAGUUUCUGUACAACUAUUAGUUAGCCAGGAGGGUGGAGAAGUGACCUGUGUUACUCUCCCGUGACAGAAGUGGCCCAUAAAGCAAUCAGUUAAGAUAUGAUUCUUGCUGUGAAGAUGUUUGGGUGCUCUGGUGAGAGGAUGCUGCACAAGAGGGAAUGAAAUGUACUUUAUGCUUAAAUGCAAGGCACAACUGUCAUUACCUAUCAGCCUCACAGGUUAUGGCAUCUGUCUUUUUUU
ensembl:lncRNA